UGGUACUCGUGAGUCAGAAGACUGCC
rnacentral:piRNA from 1 species